GACAGUGUCAACUGUGACUCCCUGACAAAAGGACUCAUGCACCUGGCCAAGAUGGUCUCCACAGCUGUGAUGAUGAUGGUGUUGGUGUUGGCUGGUGUCCUGGUGGUGGUCCUGGCCAGACCUGAGGCAGCACCUCUACCUCACCCAGGAUAUCUUCGCUAUGGUGGAUAUGGCGGCUAUGGUGGCUAUGGUGGAUAUGGUGGCUUUGGUGGAUAUGGUGGCUAUGGCUUUGGACCCAGAUUUGGAUAUGGAUACGGUCGGUGAGGUCAUCUGGUAAAGAAAAUUGUGAGAAACUCACAAGAAGCCU